rnacentral:rRNA from 1 species
UGGCGACGGGUGAGUAACGCGUGGAUAACCUGCCGUAUACCGGGGGAUAGCACUUAGAAAUAGGUGCUAAUACCGCAUAAGCGCACGGCUCCGCAUGGGGCAGUGUGAAAAACUCCGGUGGUAUACGAUGGAUCCGCGUCUGAUUAGCUAGUUGGCGGGGUAACGGCCCACCAAGGCAGCGAUCAGUAGCCGGCCUGAGAGGGUGGACGGCCACAUUGGGACUGAGACACGGCCCAAACUCCUACGGGAGGCAGCAG